CCCCCGAUGGUGUAGUUGGAUAUCACGUUCGGCUGUAAACCGAAAGGUCGCCGGCUCGACUCCGGCUCGGGGAU
rnacentral:tRNA from 1 species